UACAGAGGUCUCAAGCGUUGUUCGGAUUCAUUGGGCGUAAAGGGUGCGUAGGCGGCGCGGUAAGUCGGGUGUGAAAUCUCGGAGCUUAACUCCGAAACUGCAUUCGAUACUGCCGUGCUUGAGGACUGGAGAGGAGACUGGAAUUUACGGUGUAGCGGUGAAAUGCGUAGAUAUCGUAAGGAAGACCAGUGGCGAAGGCGGGUCUCGUGG
rnacentral:rRNA from 1 species